rnacentral:lncRNA from 1 species
GGACAGAGCAAAACUCAGAGGCAUGAAAGCUGUGCUGGAGCCCAGAUCAGCAUCACCUUUAGUGUGGGUGAAGAAGCGGGCGUGUGGAGAGAGCCAGUGUAAAGGGUGGACCAUGGAGCCCUAAGGAUGGGCUGAAAUUUUGUUGUUUGUUUCAAGGAGACACGGAGCUCCAGGGAGUUAGCAUCCUUUUUUUUUUUUUCUCAUUACCCAACAGGAAAACAUUCUUGAUGCUCUUGGCCUUGGCAUCUAUGGCCAAGAUUCAUAAGCAACUUGUGUUUUAUCCUCCCCCCAACCCCCGAUCACUAGGCAGCCUCCUGUGUUUAUCAGUUUUUCUCCAGCACUGACCAACCAUAUCCUCCUCAAACACAUGAAACUCAUACUCAACAUUAUUUUACAUUUCCAGAGCAUGUGUAGGCUUUCAGAGCUUUUUCAUAUCCCCCUGCUUUCUUGCAGCUGUAGACGCCCCCAUCCAAGCUAGGCAGGAGAGAGACUGUUGCCCUCGAACUUUGGCUUAGGGAAGGUAAGGGACUUUGAACGUGGGGCUCAUCAAUCUUCAAGCUGGAAAUAGAUCCAGCUAAUGGUCCGUCCCUCAUUUCCACACUUCCUCUCAUUCCUUACAGUAAACCACUGUGGUCAGAGUUGUAGUUAAUAAUAUUUGAUCCUCCUCUCCUGUUGGGCACAUGGAACAGUGAACUUUCUGAUUUCCACCUGGCUGAGUGGUUCUGGCCAGGGAGAUGUAAGUGGAGCAGCCUAAAGCGUAUUUAAUGAUGAGUUUUGGACCAAGUGGACCCUUCACGUGUGUGGUCAUCUGUCGUGGAAACCAUGCUAGGAUGAGGCUUCUGUCAGCCUGCCUUCCUGGGCAACGAUGAUGAGUUGAGCUGCUGUAUUUGACGUGUGCGGUUAGGAGAGAAACUUUCAUGAAGUCACUCAGAUUUGGGAGGGAUUGCAGUACAACCUAGCCUAUCCUGAUGGGUACGGCCUCCAUCGGAUCCUUUUGUCUAUAAGCCUGCGUGUGCCUACUGGAGAGUGAGGAGUAUAAAAUGAACUUGGCAGGGUGUUAAAGCACGUGCCUAAAACACUCUGUAAUACAUACUCUCAGAGGGAAGGCGCCAUGCUGUGCCUACCUCUUUCCUAGUUAUAUAGACCGUUUCUGCCUUAUAUCUCAUACCUCCUCCUCUUUUUUGCCCUGUCUGUUGAAUGAAUGAAUAAACAUGCUUCAAUUUAAAGUAAACCUUUUGGGUAUAUUCUUUCUAUCAAGAGAUGUUUUAGCAGUAUCACUUCUGCAUGUUCUACACUGUAAGCCAUGGGAAUACUAGGUGUGAACACUAACAUUUUCCCAGGAAUUUAGUUUGGGUCGGAUAUCUGUAUUACCACCAAACAGCUCGCAUCAUAGAUUUUCAAGGAGAAAAGGCAUGAAACAUGGCUCAGAUCUGAUGUUGCUAUAGCUGUGGUGUGGGCCAGUGGCUACAGCUCCAAUUUGAUCCAUAGCCUGGGAACGUCCAUGUGCCACGGACCUAAAAAGACAAAAAUAAAAAACAACAAAAAACCCAUACACCCAGCUGAAAUUGGAAGAAAAGAAAUAUUUCACAGGGUUACUGUAUUCGGCACAGUUCUUUAGGAGAGGACAUAAAUGUCAUGAUGCAGUGCUUCCCCGAGCUUUGGAAUUUGGGUUCCUGAGAACCCUGUGCUGUAUGGCUGCCUCGAUGCUCAGGAGCCAGGUUGGCCCUCUGUCUACCUGGGCACAUUUGUUCUCUUCCCAUUUGAUACAUUGUUGCCUAAGCUCACCCCACAUUGCUUUUUUUUAUAAUGAUUUUUAUUUUUUCCGUUAUAGCCAGUUUAUAGUGUUCUAUCAGUUUUCUACUGUACAGCAAGGUGACAGUCACACAUACAUGUAUACAUUCUUUUUUCUCACUUAUCCUAUAUCAUGCUCCAUCAUAAGUGACUAGAUAUAGUUCCCAGUGCUAUACAGCAGGAUCUCAUUGCUUAUCCAUUACAAAGGCAAUAGAUUGCCUCUAUUAACCCAAAAUUCCCAGUCCAUCCCACUCCUUCCCCCUUUGCCUUGGCUACCACAAGCCUGCUUUCCAAGUCCAUGAAUUUCUUUUCUGUGCAAAUGUUCAUUUGUGCCAUAAAUUAGAUUCCAGAUAUGUCAUAUCAUAUGGUAUAUGUCUUUCUCUUUCUGACUGACUUCACUCAGUAUGAGACUCUCUAGUUCCAUCCAUGUUGCUGCAAAUGGCAUUAUUUUGUUCUUUUUUAUGGAUGAGUAGUAUUCCAUUGUGUUUAUAUACACACCACUUCUUCCUAAUCCAAUCAUCUGUUGAUGGACAUUUGGGUUGUUUCCAUGUCCUGGCUAUUGUGAAUAGUGCUGCAAUGAACAUGCAGGUGCAUGUGUCUUUUUUAAAGAAAGUUUUGUCCAGAUAUAUAUGCCCAAGAGUGGGAUUGCUGGGUCAUAUGGUAGUUCUUUGUAUAGUUUUGAAAAGGACCUCCAUACUGAUCUCCAUAGUGGCUGUACCAGUUUACAUUCCCAUUAGCAGUGCAGAAGGGUUCCCUUUUCUCCACAGCCCCUCCAGCACUUGUUAUUUGUGGAUUUAUUAAUGAUGGCCAUUCUGACUGGUGUGAGGUGGUAUCUCAUGGUAGUUUUGAUUUGCAUUUCUCUUAUAAUCAGCGAUGUUGAGCAUUUUUUCAUGUNAUUUUUCAGUUGGGUCAUUGGCUUUUUUGCUGUUGAGUUGUAUAAGUUGUAUAUUUUGGAGAUUAAGCCCUUGUCAGUUGCAUCAUUUGAAACUAUUUUUUCCCAUUCUGUAAGUUAUCUUUUUGUGUUCCUUUUGAUUUCCUCUGCUGUGCAAAAGCUUGUCAGUUUGAUUAGGUCCCAUUGGUUUAUUGUUGCUUUUAUUUUCGUUGCUUUGGGAGACUGACCUGAGAAAACAUUUGUAAGGUUGAUGUCAGAGAAUGUUUUGCCUAUGUUCCCUUCUAGGAGUUUGAUGAUUUCUUGUCUUAUAUUUAAGUCUUUAAGCCAUUUUGAGUUUAUUUUUGUGCAUGGCAUGAGGGUGUGUUCCAGUUUCAUUGAUUUACAUGCAGCUGUCCAGUUUUCCCAGCACCACUUACUCAAACAACCUUUGGCGAAGAUUAAUUGACUGUAGGUGUCUGGAUUUAUUUCUGGGUUCUCUAUUAUGUUCCACUGGUCAGUCUGUCUGACUGUUUUGGUACCAGUACCACACUGUCUUGAUGACUGUGGCUUUGUAAUAUUGCCUGCAGUCUGGGAGAGUUAUGCCUCCUGCUUGGUUUGUGUUCCUCAGGAUUCCUUUGCCAGUUCUGGGUCUUUUAUGGUUCCAUAUAAAUGUUUGGAUUGUUUGUUCUAGUUCUGUGAAAAAUGUCAUGGGUAAUUGCCCUGAAUCAGUAGAUUGCUUUGGGUAGUAUGGCCAUUUUUACAAUACUAAUUUUUCCAACCCAGGAGCAUGGAAUAUCUUUCCAUUUCUUUACAUCUUCUUUAAUUUCCUUUAUUAAUGUUUUAUAGUACUCAGCAUAUAAGUCCUUUACCUCCUUGGUCAGGUUUAUUCCCAGGUAUUUGAUUUUUUUUUUGAGUGCAAUUUUAAAAGGUAUUGUGUUUUUGUAUUCCUUUUCUAAUACUUGAUUGUUAGUAUACAGAAAUGUGACUGAUUUCUGAAUGUUAAUCUUAUAUCCUGCUACUUUGCUGAAUUUUUUGAUCAGUUAAGCAGUUUUAGGGUUGAGUCCUUAAAAUUUUCUAUAGAGAGUAUCAUGUCAUCUGCAUACAGUGACAGUUUUACCUCUUCUCUUCCUAUUUGGAUGCUUUUUAUUUCUUUGGUUUGUCUGGUUGCUAUGGCUAGGAUUUUCAAUACCAUGUUGAGUAAAAGUGGUGAGAGUAAGCAUCCUUGUCUUUUUCCAGAUUUUGGUGGGAAGGCUUUCAGCUUUUCUCCAUUGAGUAUUAUAUUUGCUGUGAGUUUUCAUAUAUGGCUUUUAUUAUGUUAAGGUAUGUUCCCUCUAUACCCACUUCGGUAAGAGUUUUGAUCAUGAGUGGAUGUUGGACUUUUUCAAAUGCUUUUUCUGCAUCAAUUGAGAUGAUCAUAUGAUUUUUUGACUUUUCUUUUGUUAAUAUGGUGUUUGGCAUCGAUUGAUUUGCAUAUGUUGAACCACACUUGUGAACCUGGGAUUAAUCCCACUUGGUUGUGGUGUAUGAUCUUUUUAUAUGUUGUUGGAUUCAGCUGGCUAAAAUUUUUGAGGAUUUUUACAUCUAUAUUCAUCAAAGAUAUUGGCCUAUACUUUUCUUUUUUGGUGAUAUCUUUGUCUGGUUUUGGAAUUAGGGUGAUGGUGGCAUCAUAGAAUGUCUUUGGGAGUAUUCCUUCUUCUUCAACCUUUUGAAAAAGUGUAUGGAGGAUGGGUAUAAUCUCCUCUUUGUAUGUUUGGUAGAAUUCACCUGUGAAGCCAUCUGGUCCUGGACUUUUAUUUGUAGGGAGUGUUUUUAUUACAUAUUCAAUUUCACUUUCAGUGAUUGGUAUGUUCAGUUGGUCUAGUUCUUAUUGAUUCAGUUUUGGCAGGCUGUAAGUAUCUAGAAAGUUGUCCGUUUCUUCCAGGUUUUCAAAAUUGUUGGCAUACAGUUGUUCACCAUAUUCUCUUACGGGUUUUUGUAUUUCUGCAGUAUCCAUUGUGAUUUCUCCUUUUUCAUUUCUUACUUUGUUUAUUUGGGUUUUUUCUCUCCUCUUCUUGGUGGGUCUUGCCAGAGGUUUGUCAAUUUGUUUACCUUUUCAAAGAACCAAAUCUUGGUUUUCCUAAUUUUUUUCUACUGUUUUUUGAAUCUCUGUUUUAUUGAUUUCCUCUCUGAUCUUUAUGAUUUCGUUCCUUCUCCUGACUUUAAGUUUUGUUUGUUCUUUUUCUAAUUCAUUUAGGUGGUGGGUUAAGUUUUCGAUUUUGAGAUUUUUCUUUUUUCGAGGAAGGUCUGUAUAGCUAUGAAUUUCUCUCUGAGCACUGCUUUUGUGGCAUCCCUUAAAUUUUGAGUGGUUGUGUCUUCAUUAUCAUUUGUCUCGAGGUAUUUUUUAAUUUCCUUCUUGAUUUCCUCAUUGACCCAUUGUAUUUUUUUUCCCCCCUGUGGUUGAUUUCUAGUUUCAUGCCAUUGUGGUCAGAGAAGAUACUUGAAAUAAUUACUAUACUCUUAAAUUUGUUGAGGUUGGUUUUGUGCCCCAGUAUGUGGUCAGUCCUUGAGAAUGUUCCGUGUACACUUGAGAAGAAUGAAUAUUCUGACUUUUUUGGAUGUAAUGUCCUGAAAAUGUUGAUUAACUUUUCUAUUGUGUCCUGAAAAUGUUGAUUAACUUUUCUAUUGUGUCAUUUUGGAUCUGUGUUGCCUUACUGAUUUUCUGUCUAGAGGAUCUGUGCAUUGAUGUUUGUGGGGUGUUAAAGUCUUCUCCUACUAUGAUUGUAUUCCCAUCAAUUUCUCCUUUUAUGUCCUUUAGUAUUUGUUUUAGGUAUCCGGGUGCCCCUAUUUUAGGGGCGUAUAUAUUGGCAAUUGUAAUAUCCUCUUCUUGAAUGAAUCCUUAAAUAGUGUCCUUCUUUGUCUUUCUUUAUGGACUUCAUUUUAAAGUCUAUUUUGUCUGAUAGGAGUAUUGCAACUCCUGCUUUCCUGUCUUGUCCAUUGGCAUGAAAUAUCUUUUCCCAUCCCCUCACUUUCAAUCUAUAUGUGUCUUUUGCCCUUAAGUGAAUCUCUUGUAGACAGCAGAUUGUAGGUUUUGUUUUUUAUCCAAUCUGCCAUUCUGUGUCUUUUGAUUGGAGCAUUCAGUUCAUUGACAUUUAAGGUAAUCAUUGAUAUGUAUUUAUUGCCUUUUUUUUUUUUUUUGGUCUUUUUUUUCCUUUUAGGGCCACACCUGCAGCAUAUGGAAGUUCCUAGACUAGGGGUUGAAUCAGAGCUACAGCUGCCGGCCUACGCCACAGCAGUGCAGGAUCCAAACCACACCUGUGACCUACACCACAGCUCACGGCAAUGCUGGAUCCUUAACCCACUGAGCAAGGCCAGGGAUAGAACCCACAACCUCAUGGUUCCUAGUCAGAUUUGUUUCCACUGCGCCACAAUAGGAACUCCUAUUCAUUGCCACUUUAAGCCUUGUUUUCCUGUUCAUUCUAUGUUUCUCCUUUCUUCCUUGUUUUUUUUGGUUGGAUGAUUUCCCUUUAUUUUAUGUUUGUGUACUUCUUUUUUUCAUUUUUGUGAAUGUAAUAUUUGGUUUUGAUUUGUUGUUGCCCUUUUUUAAAAAUAUGUUAACCCCUUCCUGUAUCUGUCUGCUUUAACCAGAUAUUCAUAUAUGCUCAAACAC